CAGUCGCCACGGGAAUACGUAGGUGGCGAGCGUUGUCCGGAACUAUUGGGCGUAAAGGGAGCGCAGGCGGACAUAUAAGUCCAUCUUAAAAGUGCGGGGCUCAACCCCGUGAGGGGAUGGAAACUGUAUGCCUUGAGUGCAGGAGAGGAAAGCGGAAUUCCCAGUGUAGCGGUGAAAUGCGUAGAUAUUGGGAGGAACACCAGUGGCGAAGGCGGCUUUUUGGACUGCAACUGACGCUGAGGCUCGAAAGCCAGGGGAGCGAACGGGAUUAGAUACCCGCGUAGUCCCUGUCUCUUAUACA
rnacentral:rRNA from 1 species